GAGCGGUAGAAAAGCAUAGGGGUAUUGAGGACCCAGAACAAGAAGUGAAGCACCUCAUUUUUCUCAUUAACACAGAAAAUGAAGGCGAAAGCAUUGAGAUCGACGAACAAGAAUAUUCUGCUAACAGGGUGAUGCAGUAGCCAAUCAAAUAACAAAGAAGACACUGAAAAUGAGCUCUGUUCCAGCUUUAGGUGGUCAUGAAGCCAAGUAUGAGAAAGAAACCAAAGCCAGUCUUGUAACUUACAUAUUUAAGUGCUAUACUAUGCUCAUUUUAAGAAAUGAGUAAUCUUGAGGAAGCAAAAUCUAGAGAAGAAAGUCACACCUCUGAAUGAACUCACAUCAGUAAAACCAUUAGGAGUAAAAGUUUUGUUGAGAAAACAUCAAAUAAACUAAGCCAGGUUGACUUUCUACUUCUUUUUUAUCUGAUUUGCAAUUCUAAACUCAGCCAUUGUUUCUGACUAUAAAACCGGAAUAUGCCAAGAACGAAGUGAAAGUGAAUAAAUAAAACACGUGGGCUCAUCAACACCUGUAAGUCCCCUCAUUAUACAAAGUACAUUUAAAUUGGUUCUGUUUCAUUACUCUACAAGGUUCUCUACAGCAUAGAAACUUAAAUGAAAACUUACUGUCAGAACUUCUUCAAGGACUAAUAUAUCUAGGAAGCAUGAAGCAGUUAUAACUUAUAACCCCAGAGAAAAGUUCAGAAAAAGAACCAUAUUGAGGCCUCAACAGUGAGUAGAAUUAGGAGGUCAUGAAUGUUACUACUUUAGUUAUGGUAAAAAAAAUGAGAGGUUACUUUAGAGUUAAACGACCUGACAAGCAGGAAGAGACAUUUUGAAGUUUGAACAUCUUGUUGACUUGGCGUAACAAAGGAAAAGUCUUCAACUAUCCUUGGACGCAAAAAAAUGGUGCUUCUUCCGCAAUUGAGAUAUCUGGUCAUGUUGCCCCAAGAAGAUCAGUGUCAAGAGGAAGAAGGUCGCCAUACCCAAUGAGCCAAAUUUUCAGUCUUAAUGUACCAAAGAGCUGCACAAGGGAGGUGCCUUAAAUUAUUCUUCAUUCACUGUAUGAUGAUUGAUACAUACAUAUUAUAAUGCUUUUCUUGUUCAAUCAUAUGAUAUCAUUGAAUGAUUAUUUAUUAUCAUUAUUACUUUUAAUAAUACCAUUGAUUCUUUCUA